GCUCAAAUGAGGAAGUGCUUACGGUGGAUACCUAGGAACCCAUAGAUGAGGAAGGGCGUGGUAAGCGAUGAAAUUCUUUGGGGAGUUGAAAAUGAGCAUAGAUCCGGAGAUUCCCGAAUAGGUUAACCUUUUUUACUGUUUCUUAAUCCAUGGGAAGGCAAGAGACAAACUGAUGAACUGAAACAUCUUAGUAUCCAGAGGAAUAGAAAUAAAAAGUGAUUCCCGUAGUAGAGGUAAGCGAAAUGGGAGCAACCUAAAUCGUGAAAACAGGAUUGUGGGAGAACACAAUAUAAUCUCUGUGUUGCUAGGCGAAGUGGUUGAGUCCUACACCCUAGAUGGUGAGAGUCCAGUAGCCAAAAGCAUCAUUGGGUUACGCUCUAACUAGAGUAACAUGGGGCACGUGGAAUCCUGUGUGAAUCAGAAAGGACCACCUUGCAAGGCUAAAUACUCCUGGGUGACGGAUAGCGAAGUAGUACCAUGAGGUAAAGGUGAAAAGAACCCCCAUCGGGGAGUGAAAUAGAACAUGAAACCAUAAGCUCCCAAGAAGUUGGAGGAAAAUGAUAUCUCUGACCGCAUGCCUAUUGAAGAAUGAGUCAACAACUUAUAGGCAGUGGCUUGGUUAAGGGAACCCACCGGAUCUGUAGCGAGAGAGAGUAUUCAUGGGGUGAUUGCCAUUUCUUAUGGACCCAAAACUCGGUGAUCUAUCCAUGACCAAGAUGAAUCUUGGGUGAAACUAAGUGGAGGUCUGAACCAAUUGAUGCUGAAAAAUUAACGGAUGAGUCGUGGUUAGGGGUGAAAUGCCACUCAAACCCAGAGCUAGCUGGUUCUCCCCGAAAUGCGUUGAGGCAUAGCAGUUGAUUGGACCAUCUAGGGGUAAAGCACUAUUUCGGUACGGGCCACAAGAGUGGUACCAAAUUGAGGAAAACUCUAAAUACUAUAUUGCCCCAAUAAAAGGGGUAAAGGUCAACUAGUGAGACGAUGUGGGAUAAGCUUCAUCAUCGAGAGGGAAACAACCCAAAUCAUCAACUAAGGCCCCUAAAUGACCUCUCAGUGAUGAAGGAAGUACGAGUGCAAAGACAACGAGGAGGUUUGCCUAGAAGCAUCCAACCUUGAAAGAGUAUGUAGUAGCUCAUUGAUCGAGUUCUAGUACACCGAUGAUGAAUGGGACUAAGCGAUCUGUCGAGGCUGUGGGAUGUAAAAUUACAUUGGUAGGGGAGAAUUCCACCUCAGAUGGAAGCAUCAACACGAGCAGGUGUGGACGAAGCAGAAGUGAUAAUGUCGGCUUGAGUAGCGUAAACAUUGGUGAGAAUCCAAUGCCCCCAAAACCUAAGGGUUCCUCUGCAAGGUUCAUCCAUGGAGGGUGAUUCAAGGCCUAAGAUUAGGCUGAAAGGUUUAGUUGAUGGAAAACAAGUUAAUAUUCCUGCACUACCCCUUGUUGGUCUCGAGAGACAGAGGAGUCUAGGUUAGCCGAAAGAUGGUUAUCAGUUCAAGGACGUAAGGUGACCCUCUAUACAUUGAUUCAAAGGUAAAAGAAGAAUCAAAUAUAGGUGUGUACCAGGUGAUGUUGGGGGUGGAUAUUCCUCAUCAUCUACUCUAGUUCACAAAAAUCCAAUAUGGCUUAUCCAAACAUUAUAGGAUGCACAAAAUCAUGUAGGAGCACCCAUAUCAUCAAUGACGGUGAGUAUACCUCCUAGGAGAUAUGUUAACCAUAUUGUAUUAGAUUCUUCCAUUUUUGAUCUUUACAAUUGUUUUGAGGAGGUGAUGUGUGAUACUUUGUUGGAUGAGUGUGAUGUUUUGGGGGUAGUUCCUUUCUAGGAGCCAGUGGUUGAUUUAGAGAUUGCAACAUGUUAAAAUUUGCAGAAGGAAAGUUUGUUUGAGUUGCAAAGGGAGCAAAAUGAUGUUGGUGAAAACACUUUCCUCAUAAAGAGGGUGUG
rfam:Picea glauca, whole genome shotgun sequence.